rnacentral:rRNA from 1 species
UACGUAGGGGACGAGCGUUGUCCGGAAUUACUGGGCGUAAAGGGCGCGCAGGCUGUGCUGCAAGUCAGCUGUUAAAUGUCUGGGCUUAACCCGGGCAUGCGGUUGAGACUGCGGUGCUGGAGUGCUGUAGAGGCAAGUGGAAUUCCCAGUGUAGCGGUGAAAUGCGUAGAUAUUGGGAAGAACACCAGUGGCGAAGGCGGCUUCCUGGCACAAUACUGACGCUCAUGUGCGAAAGCUAGGGCAGCGAACGGG